GAGUUUCUCCUAGACGUUUCUUGUUGUUCCAUUCCUGGACCCGGACAGGACGAGGGCAAUGACCGCAGACCGAUACUUCGAAUGUCCUGAUAGCUCGCCUCGUGCGCAGGAUCGUCGACGAGGCAUCUUUCCGCCGAUUAUUCCGUUGGAACGUCGGAAAUUACUGCAACGGCCGAAAGAUAACGGUGAUUCCGAGAUAGGAACGGCGUCACGACAGGAUAACAGAAGGAAAACAUUACUGUGCCGGCGAGAAGCGACGCAUGCGCAGGAACAUAUGAUACUUCCUUUAUAUUAUACGGAUAUACAUUAAAAUCCGUAAGGAAGGAAUAAGGAACGUCUUUUCAAUCAGAAUUCUAUGUGUCAUCCGGUAGCCCGAGUAUUACCGUAGCAUAAACGAGCCAAU